GCGCGGAGCCUAGACCCGCUGCCGGGCCGGGGCUGGGCCGGAGCGGCGGCGCCUGGAUGCCGGCCCGGGGCUGGGCCGGAGACUGGCGCCCGCCCCGAAGCGACUUUCGGUCCCCGACCCGCUCCGCCUGACCCCUAUGAUGAAGAGGGCGUCCACUGGAGUUCUUGCUGUCGACAUCUUUGACAAGUUCAACUUCACGGGAGCCAGAGUCCCAUGGUUCGACGCCAUUCAUGAAGAAUUCCCCAGGGAGCUGGAGUCCUCCAUCUCCUUCCCAGCCAACUUCUUCAAACCACCUGAAGAAAAAGAAGGCCCCCUGGUAAGGCCAGCCAGCCGGAGGACCACCCCGCAGACCACACGCCCAGGGCCUGGCACCGAGGGGGAGGCCCCGAUCAGCAGGUGAAAGCGACACCCUGAUGACACUGGCUAGUUCACCUUCACUCUGGUCAUCGUUUACUGUACCCCGGGGCAGCUCCCGCCUGAGCCCUAUGACCCCAACCGCCGCAGCCUCUGGCUGCCUCACUGGCCCAUCAUUAAUACGUCGAUGGUGAGCGCACUGGUGUACAGCGAGGGGGCUCCACUUCCGAGACCCCUGGAGAGGCCCGUCCUGGUGGAGUUCACCCUGCUGGAGAUGGAGAAGCGAACCAAGCCUGUCUGUGUGUUCUGGAACCAUUCCCUGGCGUAAAUGUGAUGCCGGGAGUUCUGCAUCUUCAUGUGAGGGCUUUGCCAAGACACAGAGAACCCGCAGGGUUGUUGGCUCAGCGGCAGAUCGUCCCACGGGGACAGUCUCUUGUGGUCUGUGUCUCCCCCUUCAGCCCCCUGUGGGGCAGUGAGCCUCCUGCUCUGCUUCUGUGGGUGCAUCAGAGCCCCCCCAGAUGCCCACACGCAGACGCGCACAGGCCUGCACGUGGAAACACAGACAUGCGCACACGCAGGCCCACACACAGACGCACACAGAGCUGCACGUGGAGACACGUGCGCACACGCAGGCCCACACGCAGGCCCACACACAGGUGCACGCGGACCUGCACGUGGAGACACAGAUGUGUGCACAUGCAGGCCCACACACAGGUGAGCGUGGACCUGUGUGAACAGAUGCGCGCAGACCUGCACGUGGAGACACAGACAUGCAGGCGCACAAAGAGAUCCCUCAAGGCUGACACCCAGGAAGGGGCCUCUCACUUGUGGGACUCCCGAGAUGCAGUGGCCAACACGAGUGUAGUGCCCAGUUCACUGCUGGAUAAGACAGAGGCCUGUUCUGGUCACACAUGGGAGGCAGAACCCAGAGACUGGGCCCAGGAGCCCUUCUGCUGACAGUGGGAACUCCCAGCUACGUGUGGGGGUCCCCAUACCAGACAAAGGUCCCUGACCUUAGUCUUGCCCGAGAGGCCGACACAGCCCAGCUUUGGGGUCUGGCUUUACCCACAAGAGGCCACACCUUGCCACAGCACUGUUUAUCUGGCCUGUUUCAGAAGCACCGUCAGAGUGGCGAAGGCAGGAGGUGGUGCACGAGAGUCUACGUUCUAGCAUCCAUUCAAGUGAGGGAAAGGCGUUUCGUACUUAGAAAAAUGCAAAAUUAAUGAUUCUCACCCACACAUGAGACUGUGGAUUCACCCAUGUAUGAGAUAGUGGAUUCAGAGCCAUGCUGUGGCUCUCAUCUGCUGGGAGCCAGUAGUGUUUGUGCUUUGGUUUUGCUUUUUUAGCUACAUGGUUUAUGUGAGGUGCGGACUUACUUGAGUUGCUCUGUCUUUACAGGGAGCUUGCUUUUUCUCUGCUGGUUUGUUUUCACUUUUGCUGUCUCUGUUUAGAAGAAAACAUUAGAACUGGGGUGUGGUGGAAGGAUGGGAGCACAAUCUGGGAGGGGAAGACCUGCUCUCUCUCCACAUACCAGGAGGGAGUGGCAGGAAGGGGAGACACUGUGCCGGACUCAGGGAGUCAAGAGCGUGAGCACCCCCAGGCUUCAAUCUGCUGAACGUUGUGCAUCUGGGGGCGCCCGUGCAGCAGGAACACUCUCCCCAUCACAAUUCCUCUGGGCACAGUGGAGAGCCAUGAGUGGGGGCUGUCCUGGGGGCUGCGCUAUGGUGAGUGAGCCCACGCCAGGAGCCAGUUCAGCCCAGCCUCAUUCUUCUCCUGCUUCUUUGCUUUCCAAGUUCUAGUUCAUAAGCAACCAGCACAGUACCUGGAAUGUAAGAGGCGCUUGGCUUAUAAAAGAGAGAAGAAAGGAACCCCUUUCACCACGAGGGACGUCAGGCCCAGCUCUCUGUCCCGGGCAUUCAUCUUUUUUCCGGCAAUUAGCUUCAGCUCUAAUGACCUGCUGUCUGCUUUAUGUUGCACCUAUGAUUUCCAGAUUGUAAAGUUUGUGGCAAAUGUAUUAACGUUCACAUCCCAUUUACAGAUUAGCAAACUAAGGAUCUGAGAGGUUAUGUGAUUUUCCCAGUCUGGCGGAGGGCAGGGCCCUGUCAGAAGCCGAGACACACCUCGUAACAGCUUGUUAUUUGGGGCUUCCCAUCAGUGAGGCAGGAGUCAUAAUGGGGCCCUGGCUUCUGGGCAAUUCCCAUAAAACAUUGUGCCACCUGAAGAUGGAAGUGUCAGAGGAAGGCGAGAUGUUAUUUCUGAAAGCAUCUACCCUCAGAAAGAGACAGAGGAGUGCAUCGCAGCUGUGUGAACCCGGGGUGGUGGUGGUUCCAGCAGCGGGGCACGUGGUGGACGCAAGACGGCCCCGUUUGAGUUUUGCUGCUAGGUGACAUGUAGAACUUGAACUUCAGAGGGUGCUCCUUGGAGGCCCUGAUGAGAGAGACACAGAAGGGAAGGGAGACUGUUCCCAUGGUCCUGCCUCUGCGGCAGCGAGCCUGCUGCUCUUGCAGCUGGGUGGCUGUUCGGUGCAGGGGGCCGGUGAGGAACACGGUGGGGAGCAGCCUGCGAGGGCGCCGGGCUUUCAGCACUCACUAUACCUGCUGUUUGGUUUGGCCAGGAUGGCCUGGGAGUCCCCAGGGCCGGGCAAAGACUGCCCCCAACAGACAUGGGCGGAGGGAACCGUCUCACCCCUGCCUCUUCUCCCUUCUCUACGCAGUGUCAGUGGGACGGGAGGGUGGUCUGCCCGGGGCUUCAAGCUCCUGUCCAGGAACCGGACCCAUGUCGUACGCCAGUGCAGCCACACGGCCAGCUUCGAGGUGCUCAUGGACGUCUCCAGGUGUGAGAUGGGCAUCUUCUUGUGGCCACUAUGCCCGCUGAGCCUACCCCCAAACCUGCCCCUCCUCAAACUAAAUCUUCCAUUCUAAGCGCUUUGAACGAAGCAAAUCAACCAAUUAAAAAAAUAUAUUCCAGGA
rnacentral:lncRNA from 10 species